CCCGUCCUGAGCCCGAGCUCUCCUGUGCACUUUAAAAAGGAAAAAGAACAAUCCAGCGCAAUCCUUCGGUCCUGUUUCCAGAGCGCCACUGCCAAGCUAACAAUUUCACUGAAUUAGGGGGAAUUUCCUCAAACAUUCGCUUGAGCUACAUUAAGUGUAACAUGUGGGAGACAACUGUGUUUCCUGGAGAAGAAAGGAAAGCUGUCUCACUCGGUGGAGACUGCCUAACGUCUAGCAGGAGAAAAACAACCAGCCAUGACAAGAAAAUGUUUUUUAAAACUUGGCACAGGAAUAGGGUUUUAUUUAUUUUGAACGCCUUUUCCAGUCUGGCCAACGUAGCGUGUGCAGGGAGGGGUGGCGGAGGGAAGCCGGUGUUUCAGCUAGGGCCCGCGGCUCGGAGUCAGGAGGUCUGGGCUCUAUUUCUGGCUCUGCCGCGGCCUUCCUGUGAGGCUCAGGUGAAGCCCUCGGAGGUGCAGUUUGACCCCUGCUGCCCAUGCUCCCAGAGAAGGCAACAGGAACCUCGCUGCUGACCCCAGUGAACACUGCCGUAGGCCUCACAACACUGACAGCAAUCUGCAAAGCACCAUAUAAGCUGCAUUUUUAUGUCUUCUUUCCAUGUGUGGUCAGGAUGACGAAGAAAGGCUGUAAUUUUGACUGUCUGAAGCAAGCCGUCCUCAGAGGUUGUCACCGAUUCGUCACACCAUGUUCUUUCACCUGAUCUAAGCAUGCCAGCUUUUUUCAGGAUGGUCUGAAAUGGCUCACUGGAACUGCUAAUUGGAGGACUAGACAAUAUCCCUGCUCCUAUUUGUGUUGCAGCAAUAUUUCAUUAAAUUAGCACUGGAUGCAACUCCGGCAAGCUAAUGUACAUCUAUACCAAUUUGCAAGGCUGUCUGCAGGUACUCCCCUUGGGACUGGAUUCCACAGUGACUUAGUGUUAGUCAUUGUUUCCCCAUGACUCUGUGCUUUUUAAGCCAAAUGCUCAAUAUUCUGGGCAGGUGUCAUAGAGUGCAACUUUCUGCUGCUGCAAGCAGAGAAAGUCAGACUCAGCCCAAGGAAAUACUGAGUUAGGAAGGUGUGGCUUUCUGAUGGUUAGCACAGGUCCUCAGGCUGAAAUCUGGAAGGCAGCAUUGCCUCGGUUUUGCCCAUCUCCUUUUCUCAUGGAAGAGAAGGUGACUGCAUGGGAGUAACUGGUGUAUCCAGAGACCCAGCACUGGGCAUAUCGCCUUUUGCUUUCAGAGUAUAGUUUGAAACAUGUCAUCUCCAGGUGAGUCAACCCCUAAAUUGCACAGAGAGGGUGAUAGCUGCUACGGUCAUAUAGGAGAUCUAUGCCAGGCCUGAGCAGAAGGGCAUUGUACAUCCUUUUGUGAUGCCGGAGUAUUUAGAAACCCAAGCCUGUCUGCUCAGCCAACUGUUCAUAUUAAAAAUAUGUCUCGUCAGCUCGUGGUGUUUGUCCACACAAAGCAGAAGUUCUGCGUCCAGCUGUUUCUCCUAACGGAGGAAAGAAGUCUGGUUCACCUCAGCUGGUCAGCU
rnacentral:lncRNA from 1 species